rnacentral:lncRNA from 10 species
UGUGAGCAUCUGGCUUCAAGUUCAGUUGUGUAUCAUCUAGAAAUAAUCACAUUUCUGUUCUGGUCUCUCAUUUUCACAAGGGAUGUUUGAAGAUUUUCAGGGAUUAUCUAAGAUCAACAUGCCCUCCUCAAGUCCCAGACAGUCGUGUUGAAGCUCUAGGUCCAAUCUAUUUGACAAACAGUGCUUAGUCCAUUGGAGAAAUAGAAACUUGUUUUCAGGUGAGUUAAGAUACCUGCUUCCCUAACUGUUGGUAUUAAAAUUUAGUAAUUUAUAAAAUU